ACCUAGCCAGCACUCCCUCUUCUUUGCUCCCUGCAGCCAUCGCCGCCACUGCGCUCCCGCCACCCUCUCCUCCUGUUCCUCUGCCGUCACCAAGCUCGUCGCCGUCGCUGCUCUCCCAUCAGGCGCCAUCGGCGGUGCAGGACGCCGCUCGCGUUGGGGGAUUCGGCAGGAGGAGGAGGAGGGCCAGCGGAUCCAGUCUGGCACUCUGCUGCUCGCGUUAGUAGCCGCCGCCGACGCGAGGAGGGAGACGGUGGAUGGAGAUCGCGUAGUCCGCCGCCACCGUGGGCUGCUCCAAGGAGUACCAGAGGCGCCGUCUGGUUCGCCCUCACCGGCCCAGCCCUUGCUUCUUUGUUUCUGGGUCGUAUUAGCUGAAUAAAUGCAAAAUGCACGACGACAUUUUCGACCUUGAAGCUCCCAAAAUGCAAACACGAGGAGAUAGGGAUGUCAAACUGAAACAAAGAAGCCUAGCCGCCACCAGCCAUCCUCCUACUGUGCCGACCUACACCAUAUUUUCCACCUCCCCAAGCCGACGUGCGUCGCCUCCCUCCUCUCAACGAUGUUGUCUCCGCUGCGGUGCUAUGGCUGUCUCCCGAAGAAACUGAAGUUCGCCUGCUCC